AUCCUGUGGUGUGGACACUCUAGAAUGUACUCCUGAAGUCGCUCCCGAGCUUCAGGAAUGAUCUCAUUGGACGCUUGCUGAAAACUUGAAAUCCUUCCAUGGAGGGC